rnacentral:rRNA from 1 species
UACGAAGGGUGCAAGCGUUACUCGGAAUUACUGGCGUAAAGCGUGCGUAGGUGGUCUGUUAAGUCUGAUGUGAAAGCCCUGGGCUCAACCUGGGAAUUGCAUUGGAUACUGGCAGGCUAGAGUGCGGUAGAGGGUAGUGGAAUUCCCGGUGUAGCAGUGAAAUGCGUAGAGAUCGGGAGGAACAUCUGUGGCGAAGGCGACUACCUGGACCAGCACUGACACUGAGGCACGAAAGCGUGGGGAGCAAACAGG